GCGCCUGUAGCUCAGUUGGAUAGAGCACCUCACUCCUAACGAGGGGGUCGGCCGUUCGAAUCGGCCCAGGCGCG
rnacentral:tRNA from 1 species